rnacentral:rRNA from 1 species
AUGCACGCUGGCGGCGUGCCUAAUACAUGCAAGUCGAGCGAACAGACGAGGAGCUUGCUCCUCUGACGUUAGCGGCGGACGGGUGAGUAACACGUGGAUAACCUACCUAUAAGACUGGGAUAACUUCGGGAAACCGGAGCUAAUACCGGAUAAUAUAUUGAACCGCAUGGUUCAAUAGUGAAAGACGGUUUUGCUGUCACUUAUAGAUGGAUCCGCGCCGCAUUAGCAAGUUGGUAAGGUAACGGCUUACCAAGGCAACGAUGCGUAGCCGACCUGAGAGGGUGAUCGGCCACACUGGAACUGAGACACGGUCCAGACUCCUACGGGAGGCAGCAGUAGGGAAUCUUCCGCAAUGGGCGAAAGCCUGACGGAGCAACGCCGCGUGAGUGAUGAAGGUCUUCGGAUCGUAAAACUCUGUUAUUAGGGAAGAACAAAUGUGUAAGUAACUAUGCACGUCUUGACGGUACCUAAUCAGAAAGCCACGGCUAACUACGUG